rnacentral:rRNA from 1 species
UACGAAGGGGGCUAGCGUUGCUCGGAAUCACUGGGCGUAAAGCGCACGUAGGCGGCUUCUUAAGUCAGGGGUGAAAUCCUGGAGCUCAACUCCAGAACUGCCUUUGAUACUGAGGAGCUUGGGUCCGGGAGAGGUGAGUGGAACUGCGAGUGUAGAGGUGAAAUUCGUAGAUAUUCGCAAGAACACCAGUGGCGAAGGCGGCUCACUGGCCCGAUACUGACGCUGAGGCACGAAAGCGUGGGGAGCAAACAGG